rnacentral:rRNA from 1 species
AUUGAACGCUGGCGGCAUGCCUUACACAUGCAAGUCGAACGGUAACAGGUCUUCGGAUGCUGACGAGUGGCGAACGGGUGAGUAAUACAUCGGAACGUGCCUAGUAGUGGGGGAUAACUACUCGAAAGAGUGGCUAAUACCGCAUGAGAUCUACGGAUGAAAGCAGGGGAUCGCAAGACCUUGUGCUACUAGAGCGGCCGAUGGCUGAUUAGGUAGUUGGUGGGAUAAAAGCUUACCAAGCCGACGAUCUGUAGCUGGUCUGAGAGGACGAUCAGCCACACUGGGACUGAGACACGGGCCAGACUCCUACGGGAGGCAGCAGUGGGGAAUUGUGGACAAUGGGCAAAAGCCUGAUCCCGCAAUGACUCGUGCAGGAUGAAGGCCUUCGGGUUGUAAACUGCUUUUGUACGGAACGAAAAGCCCCGGGUUAAUACCCUGGGGUCAUGACGGUACCGUAAGAAUAAGCACCGGCUAACUACGUGCCAGCCGCCGCAGUAA